rnacentral:hammerhead_ribozyme from 1 species
GUCCAGCUGACGUGUCCCGAAUAAAACGAAACUCGAAUCCUGGAU